rnacentral:rRNA from 1 species
AUUGAACGCUGGCGGCAUGCUUUACACAUGCAAGUCGGACGAGUGGCGAACGGGUGAGUAAUAUAUUGGACCGUACCGAGUAAUGGGGGAUAACCAAUCGAAAGAUUGGCUAAUACCGCAUGUUAUUCGAGCGGCCAAUAUCUGAUUAGCUAGUUGGUGGGGUAAAGGCCUACCAAGGCGACGAUCAGUAGCGGGGCUGAGAGGAUGAUCCGCAACCCGGGGACUGAGACACGGCCCAGACUCCUACGGGAGGCAGCAGUGGGGAAUGUGGGGCAAUGGGCGAAAGCCUGAUACAGCCAUGCCGCGUGUCUGAAGAAGGCAUUCGGGUUGUAAAGGACUUUUGUUAGGGAAGCGGUACCUAAAGAAGAAGCACCGGCUAACUACGUGCCAGCCGCCGCGGUAAUAC